rnacentral:rRNA from 1 species
UACGGAGGGGGCAAGCGUUGUUCGGAAUUACUGGGCGUAAAGGGCGCGUAGGCGGCCUGCUAAGUCGGACGUGAAAUCCCUGGGCUCAACCCAGGAACUGCGUCCGAUACUGGUUGGCUUGAAUCCGGGAGAGGGAUGUGGAAUUCCAGGUGUAGCGGUGAAAUGCGUAGGUAUCUGGAGGAACACCGGUGGCGAAGGCGACAUCCUGGACCGGUAUUGACGCUGAGGCGCGAAAGCCAGGGGAGCAAACGGG